rnacentral:rRNA from 1 species
GACGAACGCUGGCGGCGUGCCUAAUACAUGCAAGUAGAACGCUGAAGGAGGAGCUUGCUCUUCUGGAUGAGUUGCGAACGGGUGAGUAACGCGUAGGUAACCUGCCUGGUAGCGGGGGAUAACUAUUGGUAACGAUAGCUAAUACCGCAUAACAGUAGAUGUUGCAUGACAUUUACUUAAAAGGUGCAAUUGCAUCACUACCAGAUGGACCCUCCUUGUAUUAGCUAGUUGGUGGGGUAACGGCUCCCCAAGGCGACGAUACAUAGCCGACCUGAGAGGGGGAUCGGCCACACUGGGACUGAGAAACGGCCCAGACUCCUACGGGAGGCAGCAGUAGGGAAUCUUCGGCAAUGGACGGAAGGCUGACCGAGCAACGCCGCGUGAGGGAAGAAGGUUUUCGGAUCGUAAAGCUCUGUUGUAAGAGAAGAACGAGUGGGAGAGUGGAAAGUUCACACUGUGACGGUAUCUUACCAGAAAGGGACGGCUAACUACGUG